rnacentral:rRNA from 1 species
ACAAUAUACAAGGUGCUGCAUGGUUGUCGUCAGCUCGUGCCGUGAGGUGUCGGGUUAAGUCCCAUAACGAGCGCAACCCCUAUCAUUAGUUGCCAUCAGGUCAUGCUGGGGACUCUAAAGGAACUGCCUACGCAAGUAGUGAGGAAGCGGGGAUGACGUCAAAUCAGCACGGCCCUUACGUCCAGGGCUACACACGUGCUACAAUGGCCGAUACAGAGGGCAGCUACCUGGUGACAGGAUGCAAAUCUCCAAAGUCGGUCUCAGUUCGGAUCGGAGUCUGCAACCCGACUCCGUGAAGUUGGAUUCGCUAGUAAUCGCGCAUCAGCCAUGGCGCGGUGAAUACGUUCCCGGGCCUC